rnacentral:ncRNA from 1 species
UGCCCUGGAAACUGGACGGCUUGAGUACAGACGAGGGCGGCGGAAUGGAGGGUGUAGCGGUGAAAUGCAUAGAUACCCUCCAGAACACCGAUUGCGAAGCAGCUGCCUAGACUGUAACUGACGCUGAGGCACGAAAGCGUGGGGAGCGAACAGGAUUAGAUACCCGUGGUAGUCCACGCCGUAAACGAUGGAUACUCGCUGCCGGCGAUACAAUGUCGGUGGCUUAGCGAAAGCGUUAAGUAUCCCACCUGGGGAGUACGCUCGC